rnacentral:snRNA from 1 species
GCGCUCACUUUGGCAGCACAUAUACUAAAAUUAGAACCAUACGGAGCAGAUUAGCACGGCUCCUGUGCAAGGAUGACACGCAAAUUCGUGAAGCGUCCCAUUAUUUA